UUCGGCCAUUGGGACCACUUUUAUACCUUUGGUUUUUCCAGUGAUUGCUAUACCUUUCUAGGAGAAAGGCAAAAACAUCAGGAACAGAAAACGACCUCGAGUAAAACAACAACAACAAACCGUUUUCAAUCGUUAGUGUCGGCUGUGCUUGGGAGAGAGGUAGUGAUUGGUUGCUAGGUAUGAUUUAGACAAUCGAUGUUAUUUACCAAAUUUUCAAUAGUAUAUUUGGUCGGCGUGCGACCAGACCGAACCAAGCGCCAUUUUUUUUAAAUUGAGUUUUCAACACCAGUGGAUGUGAAAAUUAAUAAUCUAUUUUUCAUGAUAAAACGAAAUCAUUUGAACUGUUCAUAAGAAUAUUAUAACAAAAAUUCUCUGAAGCAGUUCACAGAAAGCAUACGGGGAAAUUAAACUUUGAACGCCGAUUGCUCGAAUCAAAAUCGUUAAAAAUCUGUCAACGUGGUAUGUGGAUGGCCCCCAAGAUGGUUCCGUUGGUAGAGACGGCCACAGACUGGCGCUUUUCGAUCUCUUACUGAUGCAGUAAACCCUGAGAGAGGCGCCAGCUCAAUGACAGUUCAAUUUUGUUUUCGUCUACUUUGUUUUCGUUUUUGUGCAAGGAAAAUAUCUCACAAUCGUUUUAAUCAAGUUUCGAUUAUGAUAUUAUUCAAACUUGAGAUGAUUGUCACAUCGGUUGAAUAUCAUAAUAUAUUUUUGUUGUAGCAAAAGUAGUUUCUGUCCGUGCAAUUAAGAAUUAGUAGUUCUGAUCAGUUAUCAGUGAUAACCUUCUGUGAAUUAAGAAAAUAUGAUAACAAUUAAGUCGAUUCCCGGUGAUAACUCAAAAAAAUGACCUGGAACGUUGUUUGCAACCCAGACGCAAUUUUGAAGCAACGUCGUUGAAAAAUAGCGUAAACAGCAGCGGACCUAAGUUGCUGCCUUGGGGCACUCCGGAUGAAUUGCAGAAACUUGAAGAUACACAGGAGUCAACUUCAUGACCAGUCAGGUUGAAUCCUGUUGCUGGUUCCAGUGCCCUGUGAGCUGCUCCCUGUCCGUGGGAUCUAUUGCGAUUGGAUUUCGAAAACUUGAAUUCGCGUAACACUGGUCAACAGUCGAUCUCGGAUUGUUAUUAUUGUUCCUCUAACACUUUCACUGUUUCUUCUUCUAAUCCUUUUUAUUUGUUCUUUUAGGUUUCGACCAUCUUCGAGGAGGAGCCCUUAGAAAUAUUGGACUUGCACGUUUCGUGGCAUUCACUUUCGUUGAUUUGGGUCUGUUUUUUCGAUACGUCAAAGUCACUUAAGCACGUAAGUUUUUUCUACUUUUUCACUACUGGCCCAGCCAGAAAACGGCGCACCUGAGCCUAUCUUUUCAGGCUCUUUUGCGCUGUCACCAAUGAAGCGAAAUACGUACCGAGUGGUUAGACACUAUUACUGCUGAAUGUGAUAUGUCCUUUGAUUAACUGCACUACAUCUGCUCGAUUUUAAUUACUUUUAAUCUAUCAGUUAAGUUGAAAAAUAUUAAAUCACUUAAACACUAAACCGAAACUUAAACAACGGGCAUCACUUCUGCCUCGCGGAAUAAUACUUAAGAGUUAACACCUAAACGAACCGCGGACUAUCUAUAACGACGUAGGCACCUGCCUCACGAGGGGUAUCACUAUCACGACCUCGGACUUCCUUGAAGUCCCAGCUUAAGUCUUCGCCGCUACUCCGGUCACUCCGAAUUUUCCCGCGGCGUCGUCUUCUCACGAGAGCGGGCCGCUCUUCCGUCUCUUUCCUCGCGAACGUGCCCGUGCACGGCUGAUGCAAUCGUUGUUGACUUUUUCGCAAAUCCGCUCGGUCGCAUGUUUUGAUUAAACAUCCGCGAAUUGGAGUUUUUUGCUGUAAAUAUAAACUUAAAACAUUCGAACUUGCGUACGAUUUAAUAACUGAGGUAUUGUUUUUGCCUCCAUAAUCAAAACAAUACCUUCUUUGAUUAUGAUCCACUUUUCAUAUUUUCAAAACAUGAGUGGUGGAUGGAAUUUCAAGUUUCAACACUUGCGAUGUUGAAACAAAUUGACAAGAGAAAUGAUUUCAUCAUCUUGUCCAUGCAUAUUAAUGACAAGUUUUUCCAAAGAUGUUUUUCCAUUUAGGAUUUUUCUUAAUCCUUCUUUGGAAGAGAAUGGAAAUUAAUUGUAACCGCCUAAAAUCAGGUCGGCUCAUAAAACCCCCACUG